CGGGGUGCAGCAGGCGGGAACCCUUUACACUGCCCGACAGUGCGAUAGGGGGAUCCCAAGUGCGGAGGCAAUAGCGCCUUUGCUUUGGUGCGCCCUACGGGGGUGCACGAAUAAGGACUGGGCAAGACCGAUGCCAGCCGCCGCGGUAAUACCGGCAGCCCGAGUGAUGGCCGAUCUUAUUGGGCCUAAAGCGUCCGUAGCUGGCCGCGCAAGUCCAUCGGGAAAUCCACCCGCUCAACGGGUGGGCGUCCGGUAGAAACUGCGUGGCUUGGGACCGGAAGACGCGAGGGGUACGUCCGGGGUAGGAGUGAAAUCCCGUAAUCCUCGGCGACCGCGGGGGGGGGGGGGGGGGGGGGGGGGGGGGGGGGGCGGGGGGGGGGGGGGGGGGGGGGGGGGGGGCGGGUUGGGAGCCCGGGGCGUCUGAGGCCUAAACCAUGGCCGGUUAGGUGGGCCCCCCCCUACAAUGGGUUGUUGUGCCUAAGGAAAGCGGCUAACCAGGCCGCUGGGAAAUUCCUUCCGCAAGGAUAAACUUAAAAGGAUUUGGCGGGGAACAAAAGUU
rnacentral:rRNA from 2 species